rnacentral:SRP_RNA from 1 species
GCUGGGCUUGGUAGCGUGAGCCUGUAACCCAAGUGGGAGCAAUAAGUUGGUGGAAUGGUUGGUCUUACCCUGAAGGCUGGGCUUGGGGUGCUAUUACUGGCCUGCCCGUUCCAAGUGGUGAGUCUGGCCGUGGAGUCUUUGCGAAGGCGAAGGCUUCUCGUCCAUUAGAAUGGAGGGCACCGCGUGAGGCUGGUUUCACAGAGCAGCGAACACCUCCUCCUCUCUGCAGUGGAAGGAUAACGGGCCGGAGUAUCUUCAGUCCACCAGAGCCUGAUGGGUUGUCCAAAUUAAACCACCAUCUUU